rnacentral:rRNA from 1 species
GACGAACGCUGGCGGCGUGCCUAAUACAUGCAAGUAGAACGCUGAAGAAGGAGCUUGCUUCUCUGGAUGAGUUGCGAACGGGUGAGUAACGCGUAGGUAACCUGCCUGGUAGCGGGGGAUAACUAUUGGAAACGAUAGCUAAUACCGCAUAAGAGUAGAUGUUGCAUGACAUUUGCUUAAAAGGUGCAAUUGCAUCACUACCAGAUGGACCUGCGUUGUAUUAGCUAGUUGGUGGGGUAACGGCUCACCAAGGCGACGAUACAUAGCCGACCUGAGAGGGUGAUCGGCCACACUGGGACUGAGACACGGCCCAGACUCCUACGGGAGGCAGCAGUAGGGAAUCUUCGGCAAUGGACGGAAGUCUGACCGAGCAACGCCGCGUGAGUGAAGAAGGUUUUCGGAUCGUAAAGCUCUGUUGUAAGAGAAGAACGAGUGUGAGAGUGGAAAGUUCACACUGUGACGGUAUCUUACCAGAAAGGGACGGCUAACUACGUGCCAGCAGCCGCGGUAAUACGUAGGUCCCGAGCGUUGUCCGGAUUUAUUGGGCGUAAAGCGAGCGCAGGCGGUUAGAUAAGUCUGAAGUUAAAGGCUGUGGCUUAACCAUAGUACGCUUUGGAAACUGUUUAACUUGAGUGCAAGAGGGGAGAGUGGAAUUCCAUGUGUAGCGGUGAAAUGCGUAGAUAUAUGGAGGAACACCGGUGGCGAAAGCGGCUCUCUGGCUUGUAACUGACGCUGAGGCUCGAAAGCGUGGGGAGCAAACAGG